rnacentral:rRNA from 1 species
GACGAACGCUGGCGGCGUGCUUAACACAUGCAAGUCGAACGAAGUGGCGAACGGGUGAGUAACGCGUAAUCAAUCCGCCCUUCAGAGGGGGACAACAGUUGGAAACGACUGCUAAUACCGCAUACUGAAGGAGGGGAUGGCGUUUGAUUAGCUAGUUGGCGGGGUAACGGCCCACCAAGGCGAUGAUCAGUAGCCGGUCUGAGAGGAUGAACGGCCACAUUGGGACUGAGACACGGCCCAGACUCCUACGGGAGGCAGCAGUAGGGAAUCUUCCGCAAUGGACGAAAGUCUGACGGAGCAACGCCGCGUGAGUGAUGACGGCCUUCGGGUUGUAAAGCUCUGUUGAUCGAGACGCGGUACCGAAAUAGAAAGCCACGGCUAACUACGUGCCAGCAGCCGCGGUAAUUC